rnacentral:rRNA from 1 species
AUUGAACGCUGGCGGCAUGCCUUACACAUGCAAGUCGAACGGCAGCACGGGUGCUUGCACCUGGUGGCGAGUGGCGAACGGGUGAGUAAUACAUCGGAACAUGUCCUGUAGUGGGGGAUAGCCCGGCGAAAGCCGGAUUAAUACCGCAUACGAUCCACGGAUGAAAGCGGGGGACCUUCGGGCCUCGCGCUAUAGGGUUGGCCGAUGGCUGAUUAGCUCGUUGGUGGGGUAAAGGCCUACCAAGGCGACGAUCAGUAGCUGGUCUGAGAGGACGACCAGCCACACUGGGACUGAGACACGGCCCAGACUCCUACGGGAGGCAGCAGUGGGGAAUUUUGGACAAUGGGCGAAAGCCUGAUCCAGCAAUGCCGCGUGUGUGAAGAAGGCCUUCGGGUUGUAAAGCACUUUUGUCCGGAAAGAAAUCCUUGACUCUAAUACAGUCGGGGGAUGACGGUACCGGAAGAAUAAGCACCGGCUAACUACGUG